rnacentral:lncRNA from 1 species
AAAAAGGGAGAUUUUUCCAAGCAUUAAAAAGCACUAACAAGACCUCUAAGAACUUCCAGGCGGCAGAAAUCCUAAAAUAGCAUUGUUCCAUUAAAGGUCCUGGAAAUCUUUGAGUUUUUCCUUAGUUAAAACAAUCCGUGCGUUACAAAAAGAAGAUGAGCAAAUCUUAGUUGGUAUUCAAGCAUUUGGGGGUCAGCUUGGUGUGGAUUUUGAUGGUUAUUUUCCAUUGAUAUACUGCUGGCUCUAAUUUUGGGUUUUAAGUUUGUCUUCCUUAUUCAUUUCUGGGCUUAUUUGUGUUUGUUGGACAUGGAUUCCUGCUUUAGCUCUUUUCCACUCAAUUACUCCUUGUUUUGGGUUUUGUUUUUGAACUUCAGGUAAUUGUUCUGGACCCCCCCGAUGUAGCUCAAACUGGC